rnacentral:rRNA from 1 species
UACGGAGGGGGCAAGCGUUAUCCGGAUUCACUGGGUUUAAAGGGUGCGUAGGUGGGUCUGUAAGUCCGUGGUGAAAUCUCCGAGCUUAACUUGGAAACUGCCAUGGAUACUAUAGGUCUUGAAUACUGUGGAGGUCAGCGGAAUAUGUCAUGUAGCGGUGAAAUGCUUAGAUAUGACAUAGAACACCAAUUGCGAAGGCAGCUGGCUACACAAAUAUUGACACUGAGGCACGAAAGCGUGGGGAUCAAACAGG